AAAAUGAACGUUGGCGGCGUGGAUUAGGCAUGCAAGUCGCGCGAGAAAUUCACUUCGGUGAAUGGACAGCGGCGAAAGGGAGAGUAACGCGUAGAUACCUACCCUGGGGACCGGGAUAGCGGCGGGAAACUGCCGGUAAUACCGGAUAACGUCUCCGGACAAAAAGGUGAGAUUCCGCCUUGGGAUGGGUCUGCGUCCUAUUAGCUAGUUGGUGGGGUAAAAGCCUACCAAGGCCGAGAUGGGUACCGGGUGUGAGAGCAUGGCCCGGCUCACUGGGACUGAGACACUGCCCAGACACCUACGGGUGGCUGCAGUCGAGAAUCUUCCGCAAUGGACGCAAGUCUGACGGAGCGACGCCGCGUGCGGGAUGAAGGCCUUCGGGUUGUAAACCGCUGUCAGUGGGGAGCAAAUCCAUAAGGGCACUCUCUUAUGGUUGAGCUAUCCGCAGAGGAAGCGCAGGCUAAGUUCGUGCCAGCAGCCGCGGUAACACGAACUGCGCGAACGUUAUUCGGAAUCACUGGGCUUAAAGAGUUCGUAGGCGGUCUGAUUAGUCGGGUGUGAAAUCCCUCGGCCUAACCGAGGAACUGCGCCCGAUACUGCCAGACUAGAGGGAGACAGGGGUGAGCGGAACUGAUGGUGGAGCGGUGAAAUGCGUUGAUAUUAUCAGGAACACCGGUGGCGAAGGCGGCUCACUGGAUCUCUUCUGACGCUGAGGAACGAAAGCUAGGGGAGCGAACGGGAUUAGAUACCCCGGUAGUCCUAGCCGUAAACGAUGAGCACUA
rnacentral:rRNA from 1 species